GGUUCGACGCGCCAGCCGCGCCGCUCCGUCGCUCGUCAGCCCGUCCUCUCGGUCCAAUUAGAGGGAGUGGUUCAAUAAUGCGCCAACCUUUCUCCGGCAGCCAAAGAGUUAACCCGCCGAGCCUGUAGUUGAGAGCGCCAUCCAACCGGGCUGUGUCGCUAAGGGAGAAGCGGCGACUUGUGGAGAAGCAACAGAUCCCCGCUGGAAAACAGCCCCGCAUCUGGCGCGCUCGCCGAGGACCGCUGAGAUAUUUCGGUGCACAAUUAAGCGCGCGACUGCCUCGCAAUCGGGCGCGUGGGCCUCGCGUGGCGAACGGAAAAGUUGUCAGGAGUAGUUGUGGACCGAAGCCUUGCCGAAUUCUGGAUGUUUGUGCGCGAGAGGCGAGGACUGACACCUGACUUCGACCCGCGCGGCUCACACGCAGGCCCGCGGAGCCGCGCGUAAUUAGCCAAUGCGCCGUUUCUGUUGAGGGCGUCUGUACACGUGCAGACGGGAAAUGAGUGCAGCGUUAGAGUUCGCCCAUGCAAAACGCACUGGAAAUCUGUAGAGCCGUUUAAUUUGCAGAAGUGCCUCAAGCCUCACUCCGUUCUGCUUCAGUCUGGUAACAGGUGGUUUUGACUGAGCGCCUCUUUGCGUUUGGAUAAAUGAACACCGACCAUUGGGAGCAACGUGGUCUGAAAUGAGGACAUAUUCCGCGUUGAUUUUUUGAUUUUUUUUUUUUUUUUUGCACGACUGGACCAGGUUGUAACGGAGGGCGGACGGCCGGAAGGUCUCUGCGUCUAAAUGAUCAGCUCGGUGUGUGUUUCGUCUUACCGAGGGCGCAAGUCAGGAAACAAGCCUCCGUCCAAAUCAUGUCUGAAGGAGGAGAUGGCCAGGGGCGAAGACUCGGACAAAAUCAUCAUCAACGUGGGCGGCACUCGGCAUGAAACCUACAAGAGCACCCUGCGGACGCUGCCGGGGACCCGCCUCGCGUGGCUCCUGGACUCGGACGCGCAGGUCAGCUCCGACUCGGACUCCGCGCCCCCGAGCGUCGCCGAGUUCUUCUUCGACAGACACCCGGGCAUCUUCGCCUACGUGCUCAACUACUACCGGACCGGCAAGCUGCACUGCCCGGCCGACGUGUGCGGGCCGCUGUUCGAGGAGGAGCUGGCGUUCUGGGGCAUCGACGAGACCGACGUGGAGCCGUGCUGCUGGAUGACCUACAGGCAGCACCGGGACGCGGAGGAGGCCCUGGAGAUAUUCGAACCCCCCGACCCGGACGACACGGACGACGACAGGGAGAUGCCGAGGCGGUUCGGCAUCGAGGACUGUCCGGACAGGUCGAGGGGCUGCUGCGACGUGUGGCAGCCGAAGGUCUGGGCCCUGUUCGACGACCCGUACUCGUCCAGAGCGGCCAGGGGAGUGGCGCUGGCUUCUCUCUUCUUCAUCCUUGUGUCCAUCACCACCUUCUGCCUGGAGACCCACGAGGCCUUCAACGAGCUGCAGAACCGGACGAGGCGCGUCGUCGUGGGGAACGUCACGCGUGAGGUGGCGCGGAAGGAGAUGGUGACCAAGCCCAUCCUCACCCUGGUGGAGGGCGUCUGCGUGGUCUGGUUCACCUUCGAGUUCCUGGUGCGCAUCAUCUGCUGCCCCGACAAGCUGCUCUUCGUCAAGAACACGCUGAACAUCAUUGACUUCGUGGCCAUUCUGCCGUUCUACCUGGAGAUGGGCCUCAGCGGCCUGUCGUCCAAAGCCGCCAGCGACGUGCUGGGCUUCCUCCGCGUGGUCCGCUUUGUCCGGAUCCUCCGCAUCUUCAAGCUGACGCGCCACUUCGUGGGCCUGCGCGUGCUGGGCCACACGCUGAAGGCCAGCGUCAACGAGUUCCUCCUGCUCAUCAUCUUCUUGGCGCUGGGCGUGCUCAUCUUCGCCACCAUGAUCUACUACGCCGAGCGGAUCGGCGCCAGGCCCGACGACCCCACCGGCUCCAACCACACGCACUUCAAGAACAUCCCCAUCAGCUUCUGGUGGGCGGUGGUCACCAUGACGACGCUCGGCUACGGCGACAUGUACCCGCAGACGUGGCUGGGCAUGAUGGUGGGGGCGCUGUGCGCGCUGGCGGGGGUGCUGACCAUCGCCAUGCCGGUGCCCGUCAUCGUCAACAACUUUGGGAUGUACUACUCGCUGGCCAUGGCCAAGCAGAAGCUGCCCAAGAAGAAGAAGAAGCACAACCCCAACCCGGACGCGCCCGCGACCGACUCCGCCUCGUUCAUGAAGUCGGAGACGAACUCGCACAGAGACAGCACCCAGAGCGACACGUGUCCCCUGGCUGCUGACGAGGGCAUCGGCAGGAACCGCUCAGACUCCAAACAGAACGGGGACGCCAACGUGGCGCUGUCAGAGGAGGAAGGCUGCAGCCUGACGCAGCCUCUGUCCCCGAGUGAAAAGUGGACCCUGCGGUGCCCCCGAGGGCGCGACAAGACCAUGAAGGAGGCCACGUGCUUCCUUUUAGCCUCAGGGGACCUCAACGUCCACACGGAAAGGAGGAGCGGGAGGAUGGACGCAUGAGGGAGACAUACAGGACGUGAUAGAGUUGUAGGAAUCAGGCCAGUGGAGCAUUGGCUUCACAGCUUUUGAAGAGAGCUGUAAAGACAUCCUCGCCGCCACCGGGAGCUACGCUCAGCCGGAGGUCACCACGCUGACCUGAUGCCGAGAGGAGCGUGAUCCUGCUGCUCCAGGCGCCGCCUCCGGCCUCGGCCUCCUUCUGCUGCGUGAAUGAACUGUGCACCAGACUCUUUUUAUUCCAGACACCUAUUUCUCAUAUGUUUCUGGUUAUAAAGCAUCAUAACAGGUUUAUUACAUGUAAAGUCAUUUAUAUUUCACAAAGCGCUCUGCAUGUGUUGCAUGAUUCCCAUUGUAUGGUUUAUUGAACAACUGGUGUCCAUAUUAUUUCGUGCAUAUGUCAUACUUCAGCCUAAAACUGCACACCAGGACUUGCGUUUUGAUAUUAAGGCUCACGUUUGGAUCAAGCAAACUGUAAAUCUGAACCUGCACAUCCUGCUGGAGCUGACGAACAGGUUUCCACCUUUGCUGCUUAUUUAUUCAUUAAAGUCAUAAGAUGUAAAGCGUACAGAAACAAUCGGUUCUUUUGUGACUCGCUCCUCGUCGUCGGACAUAGAUGUCGUCAGCUAUAGAACAAGAACACACAAACGCUUGCGUAUAUGGUUUUGUGCAGCCAAACUGUGACUGUGAACUAGGGUUAGAAAACUUGAAAUCAUCGCUCCUUUCUCGGCGCCGCUGACCCGGAGUCUCUGCCUUCUGUUCGCCGACGUCCGUGGCUUGUAAAUCCUUGUACAGUAAUAGCUUAAACCUGUGGAGCAGUAUUAUUUGUCUUUUACAGUUGAUGAUCCACUGAGGACCAAAUGCAGGCGAUCAGAACCACGGUUAGUGAAAACACACCCAGUGCAGUGCCAUCAGUUCCGCUCGUGCCUCAUGUUGAGUAAUGAAGCUUAAAUGUGUGCAGUAAUGUAAUGCGAUUUGUUGCCGGACACGUCGGGUUGCGUCGGGAGAGAAGCAGGAGGCGUUUGGUUUCUUUCACUUGUGACUUUUGACAUAUUCCUCAUGGUCGACCGUAGUGGCCUUAUGUUUAAUAAACAAAGGGAAAGUC